AGUGAACGCUGGCGGUAGGCCUAACACAUGCAAGUCGAACGGCAGCACAGUAAGAGCUUGCUCUUACGGGUGGCGAGUGGCGGACGGGUGAGGAAUACAUCGGAAUCUACUUUUUCGUGGGGGAUAACGUAGGGAAACUUACGCUAAUACCGCAUACGACCUACGGGUGAAAGCAGUGGAUCUUCUGACCUUGCGCGAUUGUAUGAGCCGAUGUCGGAUUAGCUAGUUGGCGGGGUAAAGGCCCACCCAGGCGACGAUCCGUAGCUGGUCUGAGAGGAUGAUCAGCCACACUGGAACGGAGAAACGGUCCAGACUCCUACGGGAGGCAGCAGUGGGGAAUAUUGGACAAUGGGCGCAAGCCUGAUCCAGCCAUACCGCGUGGGUGAAGAAGGGCUUCGGGUUGUAAAGCCCUUUUGUUGGGAAAGAAAAGCAGAAGGUUAAUACCCAGCUGUUGUGACGGUACCCAAAGAAUAAGCACCGGCUAACCUCGUG
rnacentral:rRNA from 1 species